AAGGAAGUCUUACAGUCUCUUAGCAACAUAUUAUUUGGACCAGGAAGUAGGAAUGUAUGUAGCUCAGUGUGGUUUUUUCUUUGUUUUCUUUUUCAGUAUACCAACAAGAAUGAAAAUAACUUAACAGCAAUUUUAUAAAUUCACAUCCCCCAGAGCACCACAGAGUAAAGAAAUACUGCAUAUGGGUAACAACUGGUUCUUAGUUACUAAAUCUGAAAGAUCAAAUAAAGUUAAUUACAUAAGCUGCUCUUGAGUUUUUCUGGGGGAAUAUACCAGGAGACCAUAAUCAAGAUGGAAAAUCAAAAUUACUGUCAGAAAGUAUUUUCAUGAACAAAGAGCCAAAAUAAAGAUACUGGAUGAUUUCCUGAAAUACUCUUGUCAACAGUACGUGCCCACCUUAAAGAUAAGGAUAAACCUGCUGAGCAGACCAGGACACCUCCAAGCAGCCCAUUCUGAUAAAUAAGGCCAGGAUUAUAUUGAACAAUAUU
rnacentral:lncRNA from 1 species